rnacentral:lncRNA from 1 species
GGGAUUAUCAGAAAGGUCUGUCAUCUUCACAGCCUGCAGGCAGGGCUCAGGGCUGCAGGCCUGAACCACUCCCAUCACCAUCACAUACUUUCCUAGAAAAAGAAGAAAAGCCCAUAGUAAUGUUCUUUUUUUUUUUCUUCUUUUGAGACAGAGUCUUGCUAUGUCGCCCAGGCUGGAGUGCAGUGGCACAAUCUCGGCUCAUUGCAGCCUCCACCUCCUGAGUUUAAGUGAUUCUUGUGCCUCAGCCUUCUGAGUAGCUGGGAUUACAGGUGCCUGCCACUAUGCCUGGCUAAUUUUUGUAUGUUUAGUAGAGAUAGGGUUUCACAUGUUGGCCAGGCUGGUCUUGAACUCCUGACCUCAGGUGAUCCACCCACCUUGGUAUCCCAAAGUGCUGGGAUUAUAGGCAUGAGCCACUGUACCCAGCCAUCUUCUUUGGUUUCUGAUUUUACUAGGCCAAACAAAACUGUCAUGUAAAAUGUAACCACGCCCAAGGAAUGGAGGAGACGCUCCCAUCAGAGCGAGUUAUAAUUAGGCGGCUCUGAGGUAGGGGCAGAAAACCUCAGCUUUCCUCUAAUCCUGUUCCUUGCUCAAUGCUACAGAGUAUGUGACUGGUUUCUGUGCACAGGACACAUCCUCUUUCUGCAGACACCCUCUGACAGUUACUAAGCAAUCCAAUUUUCCCUCCACAUUGCCGAAAAGGCUGGGCAGGCAGCCCCCCGCCCCAUUGUUCCAACUGCUGGGACCUAUCCCUGCCACCUCCUCCAGCACAUACAAGCAAAUCCACACAAGGGCCGGCUGCCACCGGCAUGAUCUAAUGACGUAUUAACUGUGACUCUCUUCCCAUUCCCUUGGGGAAGUGACUCUCCUUGAAAGCAAAACUUGGCCAGUCUCAACCACAUAAAACCCGAUUGUGUAAAAGAAAACUCCAAAUGCUGCAGGAAGGACAGGCCCGGUGCCAGCCCUGCUGCCUGCCCCGUGAGGCUUUCAUUGCACUGCACGUGGGGCCUGGGGCUUUGACUGAAGCCCCAGGCAAGCUGACCCCUGAUCCUGCUGUUCAACCCCAGGCAGGAUGUGCUCAAGUAUCUCAGAACUCCAACCCCACAUUCCACCUGGGUCCCUCCGUGACAGAGGCUAGUUCUGAAAAUGCACUUGCCAUCCCCUCUGAAGGGGCCUAAAGUGCUGGUAGGGUUGGAACACACAGAAGUAGAAUGACUGAAGGCCCACGAAGAGAAAAACAAGCCCAAGGGCAUUCCAACCGGGAGAGGGGAACAGGAGCUCUACUGAGAAGGCACACACAGCCAGCCGGAUGAACUCGAAGGCACGCGAUGGGACAAAUUGACCUUGUAGGUUCUACCCACACCCUCUCCCACUCCAAAGCAGCUCUCCGCUGUCUCUCCCUCUCCUUCCUGCAUCCCCACCCCGCGGUUGCCAUGACCAUUCCAAUGGCUCCAGCCCAUCUCCUGCCAGCUUCCUCCUCUUCGAAACCAUCCCCACCCCACUGCUGCAGUCAACAUUGUCAAAUCCACCUCCUGCCUCCAGAACUCAGUUGAUCCAAGCGCGAUCUAGCACCUUAGGUUUAUGGAAACAAACUCCUGGAUGUUCCAGAGGAAGAGGCGGUGGAGGAACAGCACUACAGCAGCAGUGCAGUGAGCAGAGUUCAAGGCCAUCUUGAAGCAGGCAGGUCCUUCCAGACAGCCAAUGAGGCUCAUCAGGAUAGAGCCCUCCUACCUUCCACCACUGCCCCAGGCUCCCCAAAGGCACGCGGCUCUAUCCCCUUCAAGCCUUUGCACAGGCUGCUCCAUGGAGCUGCACAAUCUCCUGCCACUGCACACAGACAGAGGGUGCCCAAGUGUCCCAGUUUUAACACUGAAAGUCCCACGUCCCAGGACCCUCUCAGUCCCAGGCAACCCAGGAGGGUUGGUCCUUACAGAUAACUCCAAUGCAUCCUUCAGGGCUGCCUCUUCCAGGAAGCCUUCCCUGAGCCCUCAAACCUAGAUCAGCUGUCCCUCCUCUGCGCCACCUCACUCUUGCCUGCAAUGUUACUUUGUGUUUUAGUGGCCCGCUUACCUCCCUGCCUCCCUGAUGGCAGUGACUCAAUUUUGUCAAGCUGGACUCAGUAUUAAUUAACAAGAAGAAAUGACAUGGCCCCUGCCAGCUGGCAUUCAGGCCAGUGGGUAUGUCAGACAGGUUCACCAAUGCCCAUGGGUUCAAACACUUAUUUACUAGAUGCCAGGCUUAUGCCAGGGCUGAGACCAGAUAGGAGACUGCCCCAGCCUGCCUGCAAGGUGCUUUGCCUGCAAACCAACACACCAAGCAGCAUGGGUUACUUGCUGGGCCAAGGCUAAGGCCAAGGGUUGGCAAACUUUUUCUGUAAAGGGCGAGACAAAUAUUUUGGGCUUUUCCCGCCAUAGGGUCUCUGUCCCAGAUAAAAUUCUAGCUGGGGUGGGACAGCGGCCCGAGACAUUCUGUAAAUUACCAAUGUAUUCCAAUAAAACUUAACUUAUGAACACUGAUGCUUGAAUUUCAUAUACUUUUCACAUAUCACGAUUUUCUUUUCAACCAUUUAAAAAUGUGAAAUCCUGCCAGGUGCAAUGACUCACACCUGCAGUCCCAGCACUUUGGGAGGCCAAGGUGGCCAGGAGCUCCAGACCAACCAGUCUAGCCAACAUGUUGAAACCCCAUCUCUACUAGAACUACAAAAAUUAGCCGGGUGUGGUGGUGCACACCUGUAAUCCCAGCUACUCGGGAGGCUGAGGCAUGAGAAUCGCUUGAACCCAGGAGGUGGAGGUUGCAGCAAGCCAUGACUGCGUCACUGUACUCCAGCCUGAGAGACAGAGCGAGAUUCUGUCUCAAAAAUAAUAAUAGUAAUACAUAAAAAUUUUAAAAGCAUUUUUAGUUCGCAGGACACAUGAAAAGAGGAGGCCUGUAGUUUGCUGACCCUGUCCUAGACCAACGCUGCGGCUGAGGGCAGGCAGACAGAGGGAAGGCUGAUGGGUAAGGCAGUGGGAAGACGGAACAGGAGCAUGUGGCAGUAAACGAGUCCUGAUAUUUUGCAUCCUCACUGUGAGCCAGGUGCAGUACUAAGGCAGUUGUUUACUUAUUGAAUCCACACAACACGCAGGAAUGAUUAGCUCCUUUUUACAAAAUAGUACAAGUCCAGAAAAGUUAACAAGAGUGCUCCAGGCAGCUCAGUUGGGAAGGGGUGGAACCAGAAAUUCGACCUAAGCCUUUCCGAGUCCACAGCAGCUCAGGCCAGACCACAGCCCUAUCUGCCUCUAGUUAGACUCCAAGACUGAGCAGGAAGGGCCCUUAGGAAUGAAGUGAUCUUGGCCUGAUUUCCCAGGAGAGGGAGCUGAGGUGAGGGAAGGCCCAUGGAGCCUCAGAGCUCCUCAGCUUAGACCUCACAUCCUCUAGAAGCCUCCCCGGGCCACUCAGCACCUUGCACAUCCUCAUGGCUCCCCAAAGAUCAGCGAUCCUCUGCGACACUUGCUCACUGCCUGUCUCCCAGCAGACUCUAUCUAGGUCUCGGCUGCAGCCCAACACUGCACAUGAGGGGCUGAUGUACAACACGUGCUCAACUGACAUCCCAGGGAACAAGUGAGAUGGAUGCCCAUUGCCUAUCACUCAAGACUAUUGGUUCUUGGAGCACUUAUGUGUCAGGAACUGGGCCAGAUGCUGAGGAUACAGUUGUCAGGACCACACAGCUCUGGCCCUCCAGUAGCUUGGGCUGGCCCAGUGGUUCUCAAAGUAUGGCCCCCAAACCAGGCGUGGUGGUACAGGCCUGUAGUCCCAGCUACCCAAGGAGGCUGACGCAGGAGGAUUGCUUGAGCUCAGGGCCAGCCUGGGCAACACGGUGAGUCCCCUAUCUCAAAUAAAUAAAACAUUUAAAAAGUCGAAAGUAUGGUCCCCAGACCAGCAGCAUCAGCAUCACCUGGGAGCUGGUUAGAAAUGCAAAUUUCCAGCCCCACCUGGACCUCCUGACUCACAAACCCUGAGGGUGGAGCCCCAGCCAUCCCAGCUUUACCAAGCCCUCCAGGAGAGACUGAUGCUGGCUCAAGUUUGAGCAUCAGUGGUUUAAGAGAGGAAGCAGGCAGGGCGCAGCGGCUCAUGUCUGUAAUCCCAGCACUUUGGGAGGCCGAGAUGAGCAGAUCACUUGAGGCCAGGAGUUCGAGACCAGCCUGGCCAACAUGGCAAAACCCAGUCUCUGCUAAAAAAUACAAAAAUUAGCCGGGUGUGGUGGCACAUGCCUGUAAUCCCAGCUACUCGGGAGGCUGAAGCAUGAGAAUCGCUUGAAUUCGGGAGGUGGAGGCUGCAGUAAGCUGAGGUCGCGCCACUGCACCCCAUCCUGGGCGACAGAGUGAGACUCCGUCUCAAAAAAAAAAAAAAAAAAAAAAGAGAGGAGGCAAACAUGAGUGAGCUACAGCCCAAGACAGUUCAAUUAAGGAGAAGUACAGGAGGGUCUCCCGUUCCUAGGGGCUAGGGAGGACUUCCCUGAGAAAGGCACAUUUGAGCUGAGACGUUAAGGAUGAGCAGAAGUUUCCCAGGACAGUAUUUCCCAAAACAAGGAUAUCAACUGGGAGAGGGGGCUUGUGACAAACGAAGGUGCCGGAGUCCCUCCCCAGAAGAUUCCCACUAGGGGUGGGAGAGUCCCAGGAAUCUGUAUUUGUAAAAGGGACGGCAGGUGAUGCUUAUCAUCAGAUCAACUUCACCAAGGAGGGACCGGAGCAAGGGUACCCAAGCGGGGACCCGCAGGGGCAGAGGCCCGGAGGAGGGCCAGACCCGCCCCGCCCCCGUUCGAGUGUCAACAACAAGAUCGAAUCUGGCCUCGGCAACUUCUCGGCGGGCAGCAGGGAAGAGGGCGCCCGGUAAGGCCCGGGCAUUACCUGGGACUAGACAGGGCCGCCCGCGCGGCACCCGCUCCAGGCCGCGGACCGAGAAGUCCCCGCUCGGGUCCCUCAGCCGAG